GCGGGAAUAACUCAGUUGGUAGAGUGCAAGCUUCCCAAGCUUGAUGUCGCGGGUUCGAGUCCCGUUUCCCGCUCCA
rnacentral:tRNA from 2 species